rnacentral:piRNA from 1 species
UUCAUCUGACCUGUCACAUGACACACCUGC